UACGGAGGGGGCGAGCGUUGUCCGGAAUCAUUGGGCGUAAAGGGCGUGUAGGCGGUUAUGCAAGUCAGGUGUGAAAACCUCGGGCUCAACUUGAGGACUGCACCUGAAACUGCAUAGCUUGAGGGCAGGAGAGGAAAGUGGAAUUCCAAGUGUAGCGGUGAAAUGCGUAGAGAUUUGGAGGAACACCAGUGGCGAAGGCGACUUUCUGGUCUGUAACUGACGCUGAGGCGCGAAAGCGUGGGGAGCAAACAGG
rnacentral:rRNA from 1 species